AAAUAAGGGCGCGCUACUCAGUGCGCUCUCUCACUUUUGCGAUGUCUCCGCGGAAGAACAUCAGCUCUUCUAAAAAUGGGAAACUCCGGCUGCUACAGGAAGGAGGCUGAAUGUGCUCCGAUCUCCUCCAGAUGAAGACUCCAGCUGCUGCAGCUCUGAUGUCACACAAGACCCCCAAACACCAUGAUCCCAGUGGCCUUUUGUGUUGAGAGGAUAAGGUAAAUGUUCAAAGGUCUGGAAGGUCCAUCACUAUUCAAGAUCUUCCUGUUGUGGGUGAGCUUUUACUUCAGUGUUGUGAUCCAAGUUGAUACCAUCAUAGCAGAACAGUUUCUCUGUGAUGUCUUUUAAACUUGGGAUAGCAUCUGCAGGGUUGGCACUGAUUUCUGUUGAGACCGUCUACAGAAAUCUGACAAAGAAGCCUGCUACAUUGUU